rnacentral:rRNA from 1 species
UACGGAGGGGGCUAGCGUUGUUCGGAAUUACUGGGCGUAAAGCGCACGUAGGCGGCUUUGUACGUUCGAGGUGAAAGCCCGGGGCUCAACUCCGGAAUUGCCUUUAAGACUGCAUCGCUAGAAUUGUGGAGAGGUAAGUGGAAUUCCGAGUGUAGAGGUGAAAUUCGUAGAUAUUCGGAAGAACACCAGUGGCGAAGGCGACUUACUGGACACAUAUUGACGCUGAGGUGCGAAAGCGUGGGGAGCAAACAGG